rnacentral:rRNA from 1 species
UACGGGGGGGGGCAAGCGUUGUUCGGAAUUACUGGGCGUAAAGCGCACGUAGGCGGAUUUGUAAGUCAGGGGUGAAAUCCCGGGGCUCAACCUCGGAACUGCCUUUGAUACUGCAAAUCUCGAGUCCGGAAGAGGUGAGUGGAAUUCCUAGUGUAGAGGUGAAAUUCGUAGAUAUUAGGAAGAACACCAGUGGCGAAGGCGGCUCACUGGUCCGGUACUGACGCUGAGGUGCGAAAGCGUGGGGAGCAACAGG